rnacentral:rRNA from 1 species
AUUGAACGCUGGCGGAAUGCUUUACACAUGCAAGUCGAGCGGCAGCGCGGGGGCAACCCUGGCGGCGAGCGGCGAACGGGUGAGUAACAUAUCGGAACGUACCCUGUCGUGGGGGAUAACACAGCGAAAGCUGUGCUAAUACCGCAUACGACCUGAGGGUGAAAGCGGGGGAUCGCAAGACCCCGCGCGAUAGGAGCGGCCGAUAUCGGAUUAGCUUGUUGGUGAGGUAAAGGCUCACCAAGGCGACGAUCCGUAGCUGGUCUGAGAGGACGACCAGCCACACUGGAACUGAGACACGGUCCAGACUCCUACGGGAGGCAGCAGUGGGGAAUUUUGGACAAUGGGGGCAACCCUGAUCAAGCCAUUCCGCGUGAGUGAAGAAGGCCUUCGGGUUGUAAAGCUCUUUCGGCAGGAACGAAACGGCGGGCUCUAACAUAGUCUGUCAAUGACGGUACCUGAAGAAGAAGCACCGGCUAACUACGUGCCAGCCGCCGCCGUAA